UGUGUAGGCGGUUCUCUAAGUCUGGUGUGAAAUCUCCCGGCUCAACUGGGAGGGUGCGCCGAAAACUGGAGGACUAGAGUGCGGGAUGGGAGAGUGGAAUUCCUGGUGUAGCGGUGAAAUGCGUAGAUAUCAGGAGGAACACCUGUGGUGUAGACGGCUCUCUGGACCGCAACUGACGCUGAGACACGAAAGCUGGUAGCAAACA
rnacentral:rRNA from 1 species